UACGGGGGGGGCAAGCGUUGUUCGGAAUUACUGGGCGUAAAGGGCUCGUAGGCGGCCCACUAAGUCAGACGUGAAAUCCCCAGGCUCAACCUGGGAACUGCGUCUGAUACUGGAUGGCUUGAAUCCGGGAGAGGGAUGCGGAAUUCCAGGUGUAGCGGUGAAAUGCGUAGAUAUCUGGAGGAACACCGGUGGCGAAGGCGGCAUCCUGGACCGGUAUUGACGCUGAGGCGCGAAAGCCAGGGGAGCAAACAGG
rnacentral:rRNA from 1 species